UUGCUGGGAUGUCAUAAUCAUUUUCAUGUUUUCCACCAGAACUCAAAACUAUGUUGGCAAUUUACCUUCGUUGGAUGUAUAAGUGA
rnacentral:snoRNA from 1 species